rnacentral:rRNA from 1 species
GAUGAACGCUGGCGGCGUGCUUAACACAUGCAAGUCGAACGAAGCACUUUAUUUGAUUUCCUUCGGGACUGAUUAUUUUGUGACUGAGUGGCGGACGGGUGAGUAACGCGUGGGUAACCUGCCUUGUACAGGGGGAUAACAGUUGGAAACGGCUGCUAAUACCGCAUAAGCGCACAGCAUCGCAUGAUGCAGUGUGAAAAACUCCGGUGGUAUAAGAUGGACCCGCGUUGGAUUAGCUAGUUGGUGAGGUAACGGCCCACCAAGGCGACGAUCCAUAGCCGACAUGAGAGGGUGACCGGCCACAUUGGGACUGAGACACGGCCCAAACUCCUACGGGAGGCAGCAGUGGGGAAUAUUGCACAAUGGGCGAAAGCCUGAUGCAGCGACGCCGCGUGAGCGAAGAAGUAUUUCGGUAUGUAAAGCUCUAUCAGCAGGGAAGAUAAUGACGGUACCUGACUAAGAAGCACCGGCUAAAUACGU